rnacentral:rRNA from 1 species
CCUGAGAGAUGGCUACUACUUCCAAGGAAGGCAGCAGGCGCGAAAAUUGCCAAACCUACAAAGUAGGAGGCAGUGACAAUAAAUAUCUGCGGGGCUUAUGCUCCGACUGGAAUGAGAUGGAUGUAAAUAAUCCUACGAGUAUCGAUUGGAGGAAAAGUCUGGUGCCAGCACCCGCGGUAAUUCCAGCUCCAAGAGCGUAUAUUCAAGUUGCUGCAGUUAAAAAGCUCGUAGUUGGGUGGGGAAUGAGUGGAGGAAGGAGAAGGGGAACCGGAUCUGGAAUCUACUUGUUCAUUUAUGAAGAGUAGCUUGGUAGAUGGCCUUAACUGGUUGUUUAUUAUAGCCUCUUCCGUUGACCGUGCUUAAAUUCGCGUGUUCAAAGCAAGCGUUUCGCUUGAAGAGUCUAGCAUGGGAUCAUAAAAUAUGAAGUAUAAUCCAUUGUCUGUCUCUGGAUUAGACUUAAUGACAAAUAGG